rnacentral:rRNA from 1 species
UACGAAGGGGGCUAGCGUUGCUCGGAAUCACUGGGCGUAAAGCGCACGUAGGCGGAUUGUUAAGUCAGGGGUGAAAUCCUGGAGCUCAACUCCAGAACUGCCUUUGAUACUGGCGAUCUCGAGUCCGGGAGAGGUCGAGUGGAACUGCGAGUGUAGAGGUGAAAUUCGUAGAUAUUCGCAAGAACACAGUGGCGAAGGCGCUCACUGGCCCGGUACUGACGCUGAGGUGCGAAAGCGUGGGGAGCGAACAGG